rnacentral:ncRNA from 1 species
UGCAUAAAAAAGCGCUUGUAUAUACCUCAAAUUAUGGUUGAGAAGUUUCUACCCGGUACCAAUAUCGGACUACAAGUAUGAU